rnacentral:rRNA from 1 species
UACAGAGGGUGCGAGCGUUAAUCGGAAUUACUGGGCGUAAAGGGCUCGUAGGUGGCCAACUAAGUCAGACGUGAAAUCCCUCAGCUUAACUGGGGAACUGCGUCUGAUACUGGAUGGCUUGAGUUUGGGAGAGGGAUGCGGAAUUCCAGGUGUAGCGGUGAAAUGCGUAGAUAUCUGGAGGAACACCGGUGGCGAAGGCGGCAUCCUGGACCAACACUGACACUGAUGAGCGAAAGCCAGGGGAGCAAACGGG